CUGUGCUAGAUGGGGAGCUAGCGGUGCCCUGUAAACUGCAAUCCGCUACAGCAGUAUCGAACACUGCCCCCGGCGCGUCCUAUGGGUGACCGGCGGCGAUAAGGAAUGUUGAUAACAAGGUCUUGUGCAACGUUGCGCUGUGAACCGUGUCAGAGCUUGACCGCAGCAGCACUAAGCAGUUUGCGGCGUGUGCCACGAGGGAGCUUUGGGGGAGUCACCUGUCGUCGUGUCGAAUCGGUAGGCGUUGUCAAAGGCAGCGCACAG
rnacentral:SRP_RNA from 1 species